AAUGAACGUUGGCGGCAUGGAUUAGGCAUGCAAGUCGAGCGAGAAGUGUAGCAAUACACGGAAAGCGGCGGAAGGGAGAGUAAUACGUGGGAAUCUGCCCUUAGACCUGGGAUAGCAGCGGGAAACUGCUGGUAAUACCAGAUAAUGUCUAUGGACCAAAGGUGUGAUUCCGUCUAGGGAUGAGCCCACGUCCUAUUAGCUAGUUGGUAGGGUAAUGGCCUACCAAGGCGAUGAUGGGUAGCGGGUGUGAGAGCAUGACCCGCCUAACUGGGACUGAGACACUGCCCAGACACCUACGGGUGGCUGCAGUCGAGAAUCUUCGGCAAUGGGCGCAAGCCUGACCGAGCGAUGCCGCGUGCGGGAUGAAGGCCUUCGGGUUGUAAACCGCUGUCGAGGGGGAGCAACUUCCAUAGAGUUAUCUUUAUGGAUUGAGUGAUCCCUGGAGGAAGGACGGGCUAAGUUCGUGCCAGCCGCCGCAGUAAAAC
rnacentral:rRNA from 1 species